rnacentral:rRNA from 1 species
GACGAACGCUGGCGGCGUGCCUAAUACAUGCAAGUAGGACGCAGUUGCGAACGGGUGAGUAACGCGUAGGUAACUACCUAUUAGUGGGGGAUAACAAUUGGAAACGAUAGCUCAUACCGCAUACUAGUAGAUGGACCUGCGUUGUAUUAGAUAGUAGGUAGGGUAAUGGCCUACCUAGGAAACGAUACAUAGGCGACCUGUGAGGGUGAUCGGCCAACAUGGGACUGAGACACGGCCCAGACUCCUACGGGAGGCAGCAGUAGGGAAUCAGCGGCAAUGGGGGGAACCCUUAACGAGCAACGCCGCGGUAGUGAAGAAGGUUUUCGGAUCUGAAAGCUCUGUUGUUAAGGAAGCGGUACUUAACCAGAAAGGGACGGCUAACUACGUGCCAGCAGCCGCGGUAAUUC